CCUACGGGAGGCAGCAGUGGGGAAUCUUCCGCAAUGGGCGAAAGCCUGACGGAGCAACGCCGCGUGAUCGAAUGAAGGCCUUCGGGUUGUAAAGAUCUGUUGACAGGGACGAAUAAGCCAUGCGAAUAGUUUGGCGUAUGACGGUACCUGUUUAGAAAGCUCCGGCUAACUACGUGCCAGCAGCCGCGGUAAUACGUAGGGAGCAAGCGUUUUCCGGAAUUACUGGGCGUAAAGGGCGCGUAGGUGGGUGCUUAAGUCAGGUGUGAAAACUCUGGGCUCAACCUGGAGACUGCACUUGAAACUGGGUAUCUUGAGGGCAGGAGAGGAAAGUGGAAUUCCUAGUGUAGCGGUGAAAUGCGUAGAUAUUAGGAGGAACACCAGUGGCGAAGGCGGCCACCUGGACGAAGACUGACGCUCAGGUGCGAAAGCGUGGGGAGCAAACAGGAUUAGAUACCCGAGUAGUC
rnacentral:rRNA from 1 species